CAUAUCAAUAAGCGGAGGAAAGAACUAACAUUCCCCUAGUAACUGCGAGUGAAGCGGGAAAAGCUCAAAUUUGAAAUCUGGCUGUCUUUGGCAGUCCGAGUUGUAAUUUCGAGAAGUGUUACCCGUGCUGGACCGUACAUAAGUCUUCUGGAAAGGAGCAUCACAGAGGGUGAAAAUCCCGUCUAUGGUACGGACUCCCAGUGCAUUGUGGUAUGCUCUCAACGAGUCGAGUUGUUUGGGAAUGCAGCUCAAAAUGGGUGGUAAAUUCCAUCUAAAGCUAAAUAUUGGUGUGAGACCGAUAGCGAACAAGUACCGUGAGGGAAAGAUGAAAAGAACUUUGGAAAGAGAGUUAAACAGUACGUGAAAUUGUCAAUAGGGAAACGCUUGAAGUCAGUCGCGUUGCUCUGGGAUCAGCCUUCCUUUUGGUUGGUGUACUUCCUGAGUGACGGGUCAGCAUCAGUUUUGACUGCUGGAAAAAGGCUUAGGGAAUGUGGCUCUUUCGGGAGUGUUAUAGCCCUUUGUCAUAUACAGUGGUUGGGACUGAGGAACUCAGCACGCCGCAAGGCAGGUCUUCGGACACUUUCGUGCUUAGGAUGCUGGCAUAAUGGCUUUAAGCGACCCGUCUUGAAACACGGACCAAGGAGUCUAACAUGCAUGCGAGUCUUUGGGUGUCAAACCCAUGGGCGUAAUGAAAGUGAAAGUUGAGAACUCUGUCGUGGAGUGCAUCGACGCCCAGCCCAGAGCUUUUGUGACGGUGCUGCGGUUGAGCACGUAUGUUGGGACCCGAAAGAUGGUGAACUAUGCCUGAAUAGGGCGAAGCCAGAGGAAACUCUGGUGGAGGCUCGUAGCGAUUCUGACGUGCAAAUCGAUCGUCAAAUUUGGGUAUAGGGGCGAAAGACUAAUCGAACCA
rnacentral:rRNA from 1 species